rnacentral:rRNA from 1 species
GACGCUGGCGGUGCGCCUUAUGCAUGCAAGUUGAGCGAAGCUUUUUGGUAGUUUACUACUAGAAAUGACUGAGCGGCGAACGGGUGAGUAACGCGUGAGCAAUCUACCUUAGUUACUGGGAUAGCCCGAGGAAACUCGGAUUAAUACCGGAUAUUCUUAUUUUUUCACAUGAAGUUUUAAGGAAAGGUCAGCCGAACUAAGAUGAGCUCGCGUUCUAUCAGCUAGUUGGUGGGGUAAAAGCCUACCAAGGCUACGACGGAUAGCUGGUCUGAGAGGACGAUCCCCCACACUGGUACUGAGACACGGACCAGACUCCUACGGGAGGCAGCAGUGAGGAAUAUUGGUCAAUGGGCGCAAGCCUGAUCCAGCCAUGCCGCGUGUGUGAUGAAGGCCUUAGGGUCGUAAAGCACUUUCGCCAGAGAUGAUAAUGACAGUAUCUGGUAAAGAAACCCCGGCUAACUCCGUGCCAGCAGCCGCGGUAAUACGGAGGGGGUUAGCGUUGUUCGGAAUUACUGGGCGUAAAGCGCACGUAGGCGGAUUAGUCAGUCAGAGGUGAAAUCCCAGGGCUCAACCCUGGAACUGCCUUUGAUACUGCUAGUCUUGAGUUCGAGAGAGGUGAGUGGAAUUCCGAGUGUAGAGGUGAAAUUCGUAGAUAUUCGGAGGAACAUCAGUGGCGAAGGCGGCUCACUGGCUCGAUACUGACGCUGAGGUGCGAAAGUGUGGGGAGCAAACAGGAUUAGAUACCCUGGUAGUCCACACCGUAAACGAUGAAUGCCAGUCGUCGGGUAGUAUACUAUUCGGUGACACACCUAACGGAUUAAGCAUUCCGCCUGGGGAGUACGGUCGCAAGAUUAAAACUCAAAGGAAUUGACGGGGGCCCGCACAAGCGGUGGAGCAUGUGGUUUAAUUCGACGCAACGCGCAGAACCUUACCAACCCUUGACAUACUUGUCGCGGAUUCCAGAGAUGGAUUCCUUCAGUUCGGCUGGACAAUGUACAGGUGCUGCAUGGCUGUCGUCAGCUCGUGUCGUGAGAUGUUCGGUUAAGUCCGGCAACGAGCGCAACCCACGUCCUUAGUUACCAGCAUUUAGUUGGGUACCCUAAGGAGACUGCCGGUGAUAAGCCGGAGGAAGGUGUGGACGACGUCAAGUCAUCAUGGCCCUUACGGGUUGGGCUACACACGUGCUACAAUGGCAUCUACAGUGAGUUAAUCUCCAAAAGAUGUCUCAGUUCGGAUUGGGGUUUGCAACUCGACCCCAUGAAGUUGGAAUCGCUAGUAAUCGCGGAACAGCAUGCCGCGGUGAAUACGUUCCCGGGCCUUGUACACACCGCCCGUCACACCAUGGGAAUUGGGUCUACCCGAAGGUGGUGCGCCAACUAUUUAUAGGGGCAGCCAACCACGGCAGGUCAGUGACU